GAAGGAUAAGCAAAACAUUAAGCAGCCAUGAUAGGUUACCGGAAUACAAGCACUAUAAAAAGCAAAUCCCACAGGAACAAUAACCUACAAUUUAAAUUCUUCAUUUGUAACAUGUAAUCUUUUUUGGGAGUUUUGCAUUUUGUGCAUCAUAUAGCAUAUUUGUUACCCCUACACAGAGUACUUAUUCUACAGAAGCACAAUGGCCAAAGCAGGAUGCCAUAGCUCUCAUCAGUCCACCUAAUGAUUGAUUAAAUGAAACUAUAAAUACAAAAUGAAAGUCCACAUCGAUCCCCACUGUACCAGAUUUCUCUAUACUUCUCUUUUUUUUUUAUA
rnacentral:misc_RNA from 1 species